rnacentral:tRNA from 1 species
UUCCGCUUCGUCUAACAGGCAGGACACCGGUCUCUGAAGCCGUGAAUGGGAGUUCGAGUCUCUCAGCGGAAACCA